UACGAACUGUGCAAACGUUAUUCGGAAUCACUGGGCUUAAAGGGUGCGUAGGCGGCUUAUCAAGUAGGGUGUGAAAGCCCCCGGCUUAACCGGGGAAUUGCGCCCUAAACUGACGAGCUGGAGUGGGACAGGGGUGUGUGGAACUUCCGGUGGAGCGGUGAAAUGUGUUGAUAUCGGAAGGAACGCCGGUGGCGAAAGCGACACACUGGGUCUCAACUGACGCUGAGGCACGAAAGCGUGGGGAGCGAACAGG
rnacentral:rRNA from 1 species